ACAGCCUAGCCACCCGCACAGGUCUCAUUGUGUAUCAUCCUCUUUGUCUUGCGUGAAAGAGCUCUGUUUUUGCUGUUCACAGGAAGGGAGUUGUGAUGUUAAUCGGGGUGUUGAUCGUUGGUUUACAGUUCUUGCAGCGAUCAGUCAUAUCAGAGGAUUGUACAGGAUUGCCGCCAGAUAAAACUUACCUGACCGUGGGAAACCCCACCACUUUCCCCAUUGCAGCAGGUAACACAGUGCUAGUGAAAUGUAGAGACGACGAUUUGGUGCUGCACGGAAGUUUACACCUCACGUGUUUGAAAGGGAUAACUUUUCAUUUCCAGUCUGAUCCUGUAUGCGAACCAGCAAAGGGGCACAGCGUGUGGCUGAUAGUUGGAAUAGUUGUGGGGUUGAUUGUAAUUGUUACGGCGGUACUGGGCGGUGUUUAUUUCUACUUCAAGUCGGGGUUAACCACAUGACGACCAUUAAGAUCCAUCUGAAGUGACCCCAUCCCAUUCUACAGCUCUAAAGGAUUUUAUACUGGACUGAAGCAAGUUAGAAUAUAAAGGCUCUGGAGUUGAACCUAAAGGGACCCAGCUGCUGCUAAGAAAUUAUCAGUGGGGGAUGGCGUUAAAUUAUUAUAGAUGUGGAUUCUGGCGGAGAGUUGACAGCAAUAUAUCAAUUUAAUCUUUCACAUCAACUGACACGUGUCACUCCACCUCCCCACCAAAAUCAACAUCUAUUGAUACUGACUAAUCAUUGAUUUAGAUCCUUCCUUUACUUGGCCCUCAUUGUAUUGGAAACUAAAUCCCGGACGCCAUCUUCCGGACAGUAUGGAUAAAGUUUUAUCAAAUUUGCGAUGUAUGAUGCAACAUUUUAGAUUUAAAUUUAUUUCAUUUCAUUUAUUUCGUGAAUAACUACAAGUCAGAUUAUUUCCAUUCGUUAUUCACCGUGUUUAUAAAUUAAUAAAAAGUAUUAAUCAA